rnacentral:SRP_RNA from 1 species
GCUGGGAGUUGUGGCGUGCUCCUGUAAUCCAGCUACUUGGGGCUUGGUUAGUUCGUUGUCUGGUUUGAGGAUAGUCGGUCUUCAAUGGCGAUCAGGUGUCCGCGCGGCAUCAAUAUGGUGCUGACAUGGGAGCUCAUCAGAAGAAGGUUGUCUAAGGAAGGGCAAUUCGGCCCAGGGCCGAAACGCAAUAGGCGAAAGACUCUGUGGCAAGUAGUAGUAGGAUCCUGUCUGUUAAUAGACGUCGGCUGGCAGCCUAUUCGAUACGACUGAUCACCAGU